AGGGUCUGUCUAGGAGGGUCUGUCUAGUAGAGGGGUAGGGUCUGUCUAGUAGAGGGGUAGGGUCUGUCUAGGAGGGUCUGUCUAGUAGAGGGGUAGGGUCUGUCUAGGAGGGUCUGUCAAUUUUAAUGAUUCCAUUCCUUGAAUUCAAACCAAUAAGACGUUACAUGUUGACCUGCAAUACCAACAACCCUGUUGUUUUGUAGAAUAGCCCUCAGACUUCUCCUCUACCCAUAAUGCAAUGGGAACAACAUAACCCAAUUUAAUUGUACUCCUGAUCAUGCAAUAUAGCUUUGUGUGUCCAUUGUGAAACAGACAAAUGCAAUGUUUCAUCCAACCUAUAUUUGGUGUUUGGUUUGUACAUUACUGUACCCACAUUUGCAGAGGAUUGAAAGAAUUAGCGAAAUCUGAAUUGGCAAAGCCAAGCAAACACAUACUGUAGCUGCUAAAAGACGAGGAAGACACUUGUUCUGAAUGAUUAAUUCAUAUUUAAAUCAUGAAGGUUUUAUGUAUUGAGAUUUUACAUUUUAAAAUAGCUGUAUAAAGUUAUAAUACAAUGUGAGAAAGUUCUGGAAUCGUUACAUCUUUGUAUCUGCUGUGUAGUUCAAUAUAUUUGAGGUGAUUUUGCUUUGGGUUAUUGGCUAAUAAAUCAACUUGUUCCUUUGAUAAGUUUUCUGCUCAUAUGUGUAUAUAUAUACAUAUAUAAUAUAUAUAUUGCAUAAGAGUAGAUUUUAUUUUGUUAAUGUUCAGAAAAACAACUUGAUACAAGAAUGUAAAAUCAAACCUUAACAGAUGAAUGGUAAAUAAUGUGACAUUACAUUAUCAGUCUGUCAUCUUUAUAAUAAAGAUCGAAGAUUACUGCAUUACAGAGAAAUCUUCAAACUAUAAA